GUUAGUUGGGAGCCAUAAAAGCCCCAUCAACCACCAAUGUUUCACCUACAGACAAGGCAUCCUUAGCCAAAGUAUCAGCGAGGAUAUUCCUCUCACGAGGUAUCCAAGGAAAAAAGACAGACUUAAACAAAGACGAUAGAGAUAGUUAGUCUGAAACAAUUCCAUAUAGCUCCGGGAGAUGAUUACGGUCGUUGAUGGCUUUGAUCAGCUGCGCUGAAUCAGAUUCGAAGGACACGGCUUCCAUGGCAUUGAGAUUGCAGGUGCGGACAGCCUCUCGGAGUGCUAAAGCCUCCGCCAUAAAAGGUGAAGCAACAAACUCCUGAUACUUUCUCUCUGAUCUAUUCGUCGGGGAAGAGAGGAUGACCCAUCCUAGGCCCACUGCGUUCCUUCCAGGUGUCCAAGCUGCAUCAGUUUGCACAGUCACCACAUCAGGAGGUACUCGUACGCGGGGCUUGAGUCAUGUUGGUGAUGGUGGUUUGUCUGUUGAUUUGUUGAGGCUCCAUUCUCUCGCCAUUUUGAUUGCUAAGGACAGAGUUUCCUCAGGAGAUGCUGAGAAGUCCUCAAAAAGAAACAUGUUCCUGGCCUUCCAUAAACUCCAUAUGACCCACAGAGAUAAAGCUCCGAACGUGAUACCAGCGGGAGGUAGGCAUCGCAAAGUACAAAGAGAUGUCCAGCUUGCUGCCAAAUCUAACAAUCCACUGCAGUAGUCCACUUCCGUUACGAAAGGGGCUAGAUUCCAGACACUUUGAGCAAAGCGACAUUGGAAAAGUAGAUGAUUAAUAGAUUCGGAGCAUCCGCAUCUCUUGCAAUGGGGAUCAACAGCAAUAUUCCUUUGUAGCAGCUUUUCUCCCACUGGGAGCGCUCCUUUAAGCAGUUUCCAUGAGAAGGUUUUUAUUUUAACAGUGUAGUCUCCUGUCUUGGUGCCUAACCAGACAAGUUUAUCCGGAGCCCCAGUUGCACUUGGUUUUAUGCACAUGAUUCUCUCUUCAUAAUCCGGGACACAAAGUUGGAUUUUGUUGUGGUCCCAUUCCGUGGUGCCUGUGACCAUGAGUUCUGCUACCAACAAAUCAACAUAUUUCACUCGAGGCGGACCAAAAGGUCUCUCCUGGUGUCUCGUCUCCAGCCAAGGAUCUUGCCAGACCUUGAUAGAUUGUCCGUCGCCAACAACCCAUCCCAAAUUCUCACCAACAGCUCUCUGCCUAACAAAAUACUUCUCCAUCCGUGCGACAUCGCAGUAGCUCCAGUAGCAGUGAGAAUAUUGCCAUCGGGGUUGGAGAUUGCAUCAAAAACCAGAUUGCCUCCUUGCUAAGGUCCUUCAAGGUUUGAGGCCUUUGAUGUUGUAGUAACAGAGUCAGAUAAAGCAAGCUUUGCAAGUGUCUUAAACUCUCCAAGCUUUGAUCCAGAAGAGAAUCUUCAUGGAGAUAAAGAAGCCCUCUUGCAACUCCUUCUAUGAUUCUACACCUCACAUCCCAAGUAAGUAGCCAACGUUUGUGUUCAUCUAUAGAUUCACAAAGAAAAAAAAAAGAUUUAUUUUUCUCUAGUCUGAUAAAAGUCUUGUAAUGAAAAUACAUUACAAUUGGUCGUGCCAAGGCUUACCGAAUAUAAAGUGAUCAAGACUUGAAUUA